rnacentral:rRNA from 1 species
GUGGGGAAUAUUGGACAAUGGGCGAAAGCCUGAUCCAGCAAUGCCGCGUGAGUGAAGAAGGCCUUAGGGUUGUAAAGCUCUUUCGUCCACGACGAUAAUGACGGUAGUGGAAGAAGAAGCCCCGGCUAACUCCGUGCCAGCAGCCGCGGUAAUACGGAGGGGGCUAGCGUUGUUCGGAAUUACUGGGCGUAAAGCGCGCGUAGGCGGCCAUGCAAGUCAGAGGUGAAAGCCCGGAGCUUAACUUCGGAACUGCCUUUGAGACUGCAUGGCUUGAACCCGGGAGAGGUAAGUGGAAUUCCGAGUGUAGAGGUGAAAUUCGUAGAUAUUCGGAGGAACACCAGUGGCGAAGGCGGCUUACUGGACCGGUGUUGACGCUGAGGCGCGAAAGCGUGGGGAGCAAACAGGAUUAGAAACCCUAGUAGUCC